rnacentral:tRNA from 1 species
UGUGGCUCAGUGGUAGAGCACUUGCCUAGCAUGCAUGAAGCCCUGGGUUUGAUUCCUCAGCA